AGCGAACGCUGGCGGCAGGCUUAACACAUGCAAGUCGAACGGGCGUAGCAAUACGUCAGUGGCAGACGGGUGAGUAACGCGUGGGAACAUACCUAUUGGUUCGGAACAACACAGGGAAACUUGUGCUAAUACCGGAUAAGCCCUUACGGGGAAAGAUUUAUCGCCGAGAGAUUGGCCCGCGUCUGAUUAGCUAGUUGGUAGGGUAAUGGCCUACCAAGGCGACGAUCAGUAGCUGGUCUGAGAGGAUGAUCAGCCACAUUGGGACUGAGACACGGCCCAAGCUCCUACGGGAGGCAGCAGUGGGGAAUAUUGGACAAUGGGCGCAAGCCUGAUCCAGCCAUGCCGCGUGAGUGAUGAAGGCCCUAGGGUUGUAAAGCUCUUUUGUACGGGAAGAUAAUGACGGUACCGUAAGAAUAAGCCCGGCUAACUUCGUGCCAGCAGCCGCGGUAAU
rnacentral:rRNA from 1 species